GAGUUAGCUUAGUUGGUAGAGCAUAAGACUCUUAAUCUCAGGGUCAUGGGUUUGAGCCCCAUGUUAGGUA